GCGCCCCCUGCUGGCCAGGAGGGGGCGGGCGAGGCUGUCCGUCUGUCCGUGCGUUCGUCCGUCUGUCUAUGGGGACCUACAGCCUCAAACGCCACCUUCGUGGCCCCUUAGUGCUUGAAACCCGUCCUGCAGCAGCCGUGAGGAAGGGCUGGAGACUUCGGGGCGGUCGGAGCGCUGGCGCAGCGGUGGAACGGCAGCCUGGCCCCGGCUGCCCUGGGCUGAGCAGUGACGGCCUCCCCGUCCCUUCUGCCUCCCUUCCUUUGGCAGGACAACCCAGAGAGCUGUGCAGACCUGGCCUGUGCAGGUAGCCCUUUUGCCAAACCUCUUCUUGAUCUCAAAGUGUCUGUUUGCAAAGGAAGAGAAUGUCAAUGCUGCAGGGCAUAAAGAAGGGUGCAUGUUGGAGGGAGGCACAGCGUAGGAGAGGUGGCUGCAUUGUCUCAUUGCUGACAUGGGAGUGUGCCAGAAAGGGAACAGAAGGGAAAUGAUGUCUGAACAGAAGAGAGGAAUCCAUGAAAGGAAUAGAACAAGGAGUGGUUACAGGACUGGGAUGCUGUGGUGCUACACUAGAAGCUGGCUGGCCCAGAGCAGCUAUACCUUUGAUGUAAAUGCAAUCACGUCACAAUUACAGCUCUUUGUUAACUGAAAAUGAAAAUGGUCAUGAUGUCUGACUAGAGACGAAACUGACUACAAACACAUGAGGUGGGGAUUGCUUUGAGUGCUGUCUGUGAAAAUUAGGUGGCUAGAGUAUAGGGGGAAACAAUGAAAAAGUCAAAGAAGCACUUACAGUGCGAACCUGAUGAAGUGCAGAAAAAAAAAAAAAAAUCAGUGUAUCUGAUUUGGAAGAAGGAAAAUUUUUAAUAUGUUCCAGAAUUUGAUCACAAAGAGCAAGCCCAUGGUGAAGAACAACAAGCAAUGACAUAUUGAGCACCAGGGAAAUACAUACAAGGUU